UCACCGAACCAGGAGCAGACCCAUGAAGUUCAAGCACAUUCUGAUGCUCACCCUGGGUGCCGCCGCGGUUGCAGCACUGCCGGCCAUUGCGCAGACCGCUCCGCCACAGGGGCAGGGCGCCAGCGCGCAGAAGGCCAAUGACGACAAGGCCAAGACCGAGGCCGAGCGCAAGGCCGAGCGCCGCGCCGCUGCUGCCAAGGCCAAGCCGGAAGCAGGCCAGGCCCCGCGCGAAGAAGAGGAAGAAGAGAAGCCGUCGCGCUGAGGACAGCGCAGGUUUCGCCCGCAGACGCCCCGGCUCCGGCCGGGGCGUCUGCAUUUGCACGGUGUGCGUGCAU
rfam:Xanthomonas campestris pv. campestris str. ATCC 33913, complete genome.